ACGAAGUUUGUUGUUUAUGUAUUCUGACUAGUCGUUUACUAUCUCUCUAGAUAGUUUCUUAGAUGGAAACCUCACAGAGUAGUUAGUGUGCAGCCAGAGUCCAGUAUGAUAUCUCAAUCUUGAAUAAAGCAUUUGAAUUUAAGCUAGUAGAUAUUGAGCUCUGUGAUUGAAGUGUCUCUGUUGAAUACAUCUAAUCUGAACAAUUUCACAUUUGCUUCUCUGAUAAGUAAGGUAUGUUUUCAUUUACAGGUAGAAGAUAGCGACAGAGUUUGAAGGUAUAUGCAAAGAUCUUCUCCUCCGUCGCCGUCCGCGACAAAGCUGUUGGGUGCAUCCAUCCAUCAUCUUUAGAUCUGAGUGAAGAGGGCAUCCAUCCAUCUCAAAAGGAUAUGGAUGACCAUCUGCAGGUAUGCAGGUUUCUUCCCAAACUUAACGACGAGAUACUAGGUGAAAGAAAUGCUCUCUACAAGGAAAGGUUGAGCAGCCUAGAGAAUUUAGUACUGAUCAUGAGGUGAUCGACGCAGACUACCGCGAUCCGAUGGGCGUCGUGCUCUUCAACAACUCGGAGGCGGACUUUGCUGUGAAGCCCGGCGACCGCGUCAUACAGAUGAUUGUCCAGGUGAUUGCGAUGCCGGAGGUCGCCGAGGUGGAAGACCUUGACAUCAC